rnacentral:rRNA from 1 species
GGAGUUAGCCGGUGCUUCUUCUGCGAGUAACGUCACAGAUGUAAGGUAUUAACUUACACCCUUUCCUCCUCGCUGAAAGUGCUUUACAACCCGAAGGCCUUCUUCACACACGCGGCAUGGCUGCAUCAGGGUUUCCCCCAUUGUGCAAUAUUCCCCACUGCUGCCUCCCGUAGGAGUCUGGGCCGUGUCUCAGUCCCAGUGUGGCUGAUCAUCCUCUCAGACCAGCUAGGGAUCGUCGCCUAGGUGAGCCUUUACCUCACCUACUAGCUAAUCCCACCUGGGCUUAUCCAUCAGCGCAAGGCCCGAAGGUCCCCUGCUUUCCCCCGUAGGGCGUAUGCGGUAUUAGCAGUCGUUUCCAACUGUUAUCCCCCACAAAUGGGCAAAUUCCCAGGCAUUACUCACCCGUCCGCCGCUCGUCAUCUUCAAAGCAAGCUUUUGAAAUGUUACCGCUCGACUUGCAUGUGUUAGGCCUGCCGCCAGCGUUCAAUCUGACGACAGACUACUAACUCUACGUACGUAGACGGGCGGGUCGUCGGACGACGGCCGACAGU